UACGUAGGUGGCAAGCGUUGUCCGGAUUUACUGGGCGUAAAGGGCGUGCAGGCGGUUUGUUAAGUGCAGGGUGAAAGCUCCCGGCUCAACUGGGAGAGGUCCUUGCAUACUGGCGAACUCGAGGGAGGCAGAGGAAAGUGGAAUUCCCGGUGUAGUGGUGAUAUGCGUAGAUAUCAGGAGGAACACCGAUGGCGAAGGCAGGUCUCUGGGCAUUAACUGACGCUGAGGAGCGAAAGCAUGGGGAGCGAACAGG
rnacentral:rRNA from 1 species